CCUACGGGUGGCAGCAGUGGGGAAUUUUGGGCAAUGGGCGCAAGCCUGACGCAGCAACGCCGCGUGAUGGAAGGAGGCUUUCGGGUUGUAAACUUCUUUUCUCAGGGACCAAGCAAGUGACGCUACCUGAGGAAUAAGCCACGGUUAACUACGUGCCAGCAGCCGCGGUAAUACGUAGGUGGCAAGCGUUAUCCGGAUUUACUGGGUGUAAGGGGCGUGUAGGCGGGAAAGCAAGUCAGAUGUGAAAACCAUGGGCUCAACCUGUGGCCUGCAUUUGACACUGUUUUUCUUGAGUGCUGGAGAGGCAGACGGAAUUCCUAGUGUAGCGGUGAAAUGCGUAGAUAUUAGGAGGAACACCAGUGGCGAAGGCGGUCUGCUGGACAGCAACUGACGCUGAGGCGCGAAAGCGUGGGGAGCAAACAGGAUUAGAUACCCCUGUAGUC
rnacentral:rRNA from 1 species